AACCCAAGAAAAACUCAAAUGCUGUUCUAGAACUGGUGAAAGUGAAACCCUACAAAAGUGAAGCUGCUCCAAUGAUCUUCUCAGCAGCGCUCUCCAGCGACUGAAACCGAAAACGACGAUCUGCGUGAUGAUCUUCUCCAGUGCUGCUCCGGUGACGAUCUUUUCAGUGGCAUUCUCCGACGAAUCGAUGCUUUUAGUUUUCACUCUCUUCUGGCUGUUCCUUGAGCUGUCUUUUUAGUUCAUUUUUUUUCUGUUUUUGACUUUUCUUUUUCUUCACUCUUGGUGAAAUUGAAGUUUUGGUUGUUGAUCUAUGAUGAACAGAAACGGUGAUUCUGGAUCGAGGAGUUAGGGUUUUGAUUGAGAGCGAUGGGGAGAGGGAAGAUCGUGAGAAGGAGGAUCGAUAAUUCCACGAGCAGGAAAGUGACGUUCUCGAAGCGAAGGAACGGUUUGUUGAAGAAGGCGAAGGAGCUUGCAAUUUUGUGCGAUGCUGAGGUUGGAGUUAUAAUCUUUUCCAGCACUAACUCUAUGAUUUCUCCAGUACCAGGUAAAGAAAAUGUGUCCAAAUGAUCCCGAUGCAACAAAGAAAUUGAAGGAAUGUGAAAAGAAUGCUUCUAUGUUUUCUGAUCGUUACUGUCCUCUCUAUUCUACUGUGAAACUUCUUGAUUGUGGUUCCAUAAAGUGGAAGCCAGCUCUAGCUACAUUCACCCAUCCAUCGAGAGGCUACUACAGUUUCAAGAAAGAAGUUUACUGGUCUACAUCAAUUUUUGCCAAUUCUUUUUUUCUUAUAAUUUAAUCAACAAUGUGGCAAAGAGGUUGCCGCAGGAGAUUGAUGCAGCGAAUCAGCGAAGUAAAACAUGAUUUUUUUCUUCUCCUUGGCUUCCGCAAGAUUCCUUGAAGACUAAAGCAUCCUCUUCGCAGCACAUUGUAAAGAGAUCAUGAAUUUUGUGGUAGCACCAAGCUGAACAAAUUAUUUUCACUUUAAUCAGUGACUGGUGUGAUAUGAGUUUGGAACUGGAAGAAUUAUUGAAUCUGAUCUUCUCUUCUUGGUGUGAUCUUGCUGGUUUGGAAGAUGCAUUAGUGAAGCGUGUGAUGAUCACCCCAGAGGAAGUUAUUAAACGGAGUCUCAAUCCGCAAAGCGCAGCAAUAAGCAGAGAUGGCUUGGCCAAAACAAUAUAUUCUAGACUCUUUGACUGGUUGGUGGACAAGAUUAACAAUUUGAUCGGACGAGACGCGACUUCUAAAUUUUUUAUUGGAGUCCUUGAUAUCUAUGGCUUUGGAAGCUUUAAAACCAACAGGUAUGUCCAAAUAUGGCAGGCUCGUUAUAGGUGCCACAGAGCUUUUAAAUAUUACAAAUGCAGAUGAAAGGGGAAGAUGGCCAGGAGAGAACUCAGGAAACUGAAAAUGGCAAGUGGGAAAAGGUUGAGAGGAUCAAGAAGAGGAUGAAGAAGGGGAACAGAUAAAAUUCCAAGGGUUGGGUUGGAUAGAAAGAACAGGAUGCGUUGUUUCAUGCUCCUCAUCAGGCAACAGUUACAAUAUCUCUUGGGAGGCACCAUUGGAUGACCCAGUGAAGCAAAGGAUGCUUAAGGUUAAGGAGCCAUUGAGUUUACUUAUGACGUAAUUGCAAGGAAGUGGAAGCAUAACAAGAAAUAAAGGAUUUGCUCAUGAAUUUUGACAAUAUUUACCUUUGUUUAAUUUAAAGCUCUUGAAUUAUGAUGGAUUCCAUGACCGCAUUAUUCUAUUGUUUAAUUUAAAGAAUAAUGUUGGCAUUAGGUGCUCCUCUUUUUUAUCCAAUCAAGUUUCCUUUGAUUGUCUUCCAA